AUUUUAUAUUUGAAAUUCUUCAAAGUAGCCAAUCUUUGCCUUGAUGACAGCUUUACACUCUCUUGGCAUUCCAUCAACCAGCUUCAUGAGGAAUGCUUUUCCAACAGUCUUGAAGGAGUUCCCACAUAAGCUGAGCACUUGUUGGUGUUACGGUGCGUGAAUGAGGACCCAAAAGCGAAUCAACUUAAACAGAGCUUCUUUAAUUACCAAACAUAGGUAGGCUCAGAUGGACCGGCAGAUUCCGACAGGACAGGACAAGGUUACAGCAAACAUGACGACAGUCUGGUUCAGGCAUGAAUGACACAAACAAACAAGAAUCCGACAAGGACAGGAGCAGAAACAGAGAGAGAUAUAGGGACCUAAUCAGAGGGAAAAAGGGAACAGGUGGGGAACGGGGUGAAUGGGUAGUUAGAGGAGACAAGGGAACAGGUGGGGAACGGGGUGAAUGGGUAGUUAGAGGAGACAAGGGACAGCUGGGGGAAAGCGGGGGAGAAAAGGUAACCUAACACGACCAGCAGAGGGAGACAGGGUGAAGGGAAAGGACAGAGACAAGACAACAUGACAGUACAUGACAGUUGGCUGCUAUUCCUUGACUCUGCAGUCCAACUCAUCCCAAAUCAUCUCAAUUGGGUUGAGGUUGGGUGAUUGUGGAGGCCAGGCCAUCUGAUGCAGCAUUCCAUCACUUUCCUUCUUGUUCAAAUAUCCCCUACCCAGCCUGGAGGUGUGUUGAGUCAUUGUCCUGUUGAAAAACAAAUGAUAGUCCCACUAAGCUUAAACCAGAUGGGAUGGCGUAGUGCUGCUGAAUUCUGUGGUAGCCAUAAUGGUUAAGUGUGCCUUGAGUUCUAAAUAAAGCACAGUGUCACCUGCAAAGCACCCCCACAUCAUCACACCUCCUCAUCCAUGCUUCACGGUGGGAACCACACAUGCGGAGAUCAUCCAUUCACCUACUCUGUGUCUCACAAAGACACGGCGGUUGGAACCGAAAAUCUCACAUUUGGACCCAAAGGAGAGACUUACACCGGUCUAAUGUCCAUUGCUCAUGUUUCUUAGCCCAAGCAAGUCUCUUCUUCUUAUUGGUGUCCAUUAGUAGUGGUUUCUUUGCAGCAUUUCAACCAUGAAGGCCUGAUUCACUCAGUCUCCUCUGAACAGUUGAUGUUGAGAUGGGUCUUUUACUUGAACUCUGUGAGGCAUUUCUUUGGGCUGCCAUUUCUGAGGCUUGUAACUCUAAUGAACUUAUCCUAUGCAGCAGAGGUAACUCUGGGUCUUUCUUCCUGUGGCGGUCCUCAUGAGAGGAGGUUUCAAAAUAGCCACUUCAUGGUUUUUGCACCUGCACUUGAAGAAACUUGACCAAACCUGUCAUCAAGGCAAAUGGUAGCUACUUUGAAGAAUCUUAAAUAUAACAUAUAUUUUGAUUUGUUUAACACUUGUUUGGUUACUACAUGAUUCCAUAUGUGUUAUUUCAUAGUUUUGAUGUCUUCACUAUUAUUGACAAAAUGUAGA
rnacentral:lncRNA from 1 species